GCCGGGUUAAUACCGCAUACGCUCUACGGAGGAAAGGGGGGGAUCUUAGGACCUCCCGCUACAGGGGCGGCCGAUGGCAGAUUAGCUAGUUGGUGGGGUAAAGGCCUACCAAGGCGACGAUCUGUAGCUGGUCUGAGAGGACGACCAGCCACACUGGGACUGAGACACGGCCCAGACUCCUACGGGAGGCAGCAGUGGGGAAUUUUGGACAAUGGGCGAAAGCCUGAUCCAGCAAUGCCGCGUGUGUGAAGAAGGCCUUCGGGUUGUAAAGCACUUUUGUCCGGAAAGAAAACGUCGUGGUUAAUACCCGUGGCGGAUGACGGUACCGGAAGAAUAAGCACCGGCUAACUACGUGCCAGCAGCCGCGGUAAUACGUAGGGUGCAAGCGUUAAUCGGAAUUACUGGGCGUAAAGCGUGCGCAGGCGGUUCGCUAAGACAGAUGUGAAAUCCCCGGGCUUAACCUGGGAACUGCAUUUGUGACUGGCGGGCUAGAGUAUGGCAGAGGGGGGUAGAAUUCCACGUGUAGCAGUGAAAUGCGUAGAGAUGUGGAGGAAUACCGAUGGCGAAGGCAGCCCCCUGGGCCAAUACUGACGCUCAUGCACGAAAGCGUG
rnacentral:rRNA from 1 species